rnacentral:rRNA from 1 species
ACGGAGGGUGCAAGCGUUAAUCGGAAUUACUGGGCGUAAAGCGCACGUAGGUGGUUUGUUAAGCUAGCUGUGAAAUCCCCGGGCUCAACCUGGGCACUGCAGUUAGAACUGGCAAGCUAGAGUAGGGUAGAGGGGUGUGGAAUUCCAGGUGUAGCGGUGAAAUGCGUAGAUAUCGGGAGGAACAUCAGUGGCGAAGGCGGCCAUCUGGGACAACACUGACGCUGAAGCACGAAAGCGUGGGGAGCAAACAGGA